rnacentral:lncRNA from 1 species
GAGGACAAAAGCCAUUUUCUUAUCCCAUGAUGACUUUAAAGCACCUUAGACAUCCACCCAUGCCAAGGGCAAAAGGGACCCUGCUAUCAGAGCUUUAAGGGUCAAAGCCUGCCCCGCCCCCAGCCCUAACAAGCUGGGCUUGGAUACUCAUCUUCAAUGGACCAAUUAAACAGACAAGCAACAAUGAAAAGCAGAUUCGUUCCGUGUGACCACACUGGCAAGAGGGACAAAUGAAGAGGCCCCUCUAUCCUCAGAGCCCUGACAGGAGGCUUAGGUUUAAAUGGGGGGCAAGAGA